rnacentral:rRNA from 1 species
UACGUAGGCAGCGAGCGUUGUUCGGAAUUACUGGGCGUAAAGAGUGUGUAGGCGGUGCUCUAAGUUCGGUGUGAAAUCUCCCGGCUUAACUGGGAGGGUGCGCCGGAAACUGGAGUGCUCGAGCGUGGGAGAGGAAAGCGGAAUUCCUGGUGUAGCGGUGAAAUGCGUAGAUAUCAGGAGGAACACCUGCGGUGUAGACGGCUUUCUGGACCAUUGCUGACGCUGAGGAGCGAAAGCCAGGGGAGCAAACGGG